rnacentral:rRNA from 1 species
ACCACCAGCUAAGGUCCCCAAAUUGUCACUAAGUGAUAAAGGAGGUGGGAGUGCAAAGACAACCAGGAGGUUUGCCUAGAAGCAGCCAUCCUUAAAAGAGUGCGUAAUAGCUCACUGGUCAAGCGCUCCUGCGCCGAAAAUGAACGGGGCUAAGUGACGUACCGAAGCUGUGGGAUAGGUUAAAUCUAUCGGUAGGGGAGCGUUCUGCUUUGGGUGAAGCACUAGCGGUAAGCAGGUGUGGACGAAGCAGAAGUGAGAAUGUCGGCUUGAGUAGCGAAAACAUUGGUGAGAAUCCAAUGCCCCGAAACCCUAAGGGUUCCUCCGGCAGGUUCGUCCGCGGAGGGUUAGUCAGGACCUAAGGCGAGGCCAAACGGCGUAGUCGAUGGACAACGGGUAAUUAAUCCCGUACUGAUGUGGAUUUGUGCAGAGGGACGGAGAAGGCAUGAGCCAGCCGGAUGUUGGUUACCGGUGCAAGCGUUCGAGGCGUUGAGGAGUGGAGAAAACAUUCCGAGCUGAGGCGUGAGUCCGAGGUGAUACGUCACCGAAGUGGUAGCAGUCAAGCUUCCAAGAAAAGCUCCAAGCACGUUAAGUCCAUGUUACCUGUACCCGAAACCGACACAGGUAGGGAGGUUGAGAAUACCAAGGGGCGCGAGAUAACUCUCUCUAAGGAACUCGGCAAAAUGGCCCCGUAACUUCGGAAGAAGGGGUGCCCACCUAAGACGUGGGUCGCAGUGAAGAGAUCCAGGCGACUGUUUACCAAAAACACAGGUCUCCGCUAAGUCAAAUGACGACGUAUGGGGGCUGACGCCUGCCCAGUGCCGGAAGGUUAAGGAAGUCGGUCAGGACGCAAGUCUAAAGCUGGCGACUGAAGCCCCGGUGAACGGCGGCCGUAACUAUAACGGUCCUAAGGUAGCGAAAUUCCUUGUCGGGUAAGUUCCGACCCGCACGAAAGGCGUAAUGAUUUGGGCACUGUCUCAACGAGAGACUCGGUGAAAUUAUAAUACCCGUGAAGAUGCGGGUUACCCGCGACAGGACGGAAAGACCCCAUGGAGCUUUACUGUAGCUUGAUAUUGAGUAUCUGUUAAACAUGUACAGGAUAGGUAGGAGCCAGAGAAAGUAGGACGCUAGUCUUACUGGAGGCGCUGUUGGGAUACUACCCUUGUUUGAUGGAUGCUCUAACCUAGGCCGCUAAGCGUGGUCAGGGACAGUGUCAGGUGGGCAGUUUGACUGGGGCGGUCGCCUCCUAAAUGGUAACGGAGGCGCGCAAAGGUUCCCUCAGCACGCUUGGAAACCGUGCAUAGAGUGUAAAGGCAUAAAGGGAGCUUGACUGCAAGAGUUACAACUCAAGCAGGGACGAAAGUCGGCCUUAGUGAUCCGACGGCACUGAGUGGAAGGGCCGUCGCUCAACGGAUAAAAGUUACUCUAGGAUAACAGGCUGAUCUCCCCCAAGAGUUCACAUCGACGGGGAGGUUUGGCACCUCGAUGUCGGCUCGUCGCAUCCUGGGGCUGUAGUCGGUCCCAAGGGUUGGGCUGUUCGCCCAUUAAAGCGGCACGCGAGCUGGGUUCAGAACGUCGUGAGACAGUUCGGUCCCUAUCCGUCGUGGGCGUAGGAAAUUUGAGAGGAGCUGUCCUUAGUACGAGAGGACCGGGAUGGACAUACCGCUGGUGUACCAGUUGUUCUGCCAAGGGCAUCGCUGGGUAGCUAUGUAUGGACGGGAUAAGCGCUGAAAGCAUCUAAGUGCGAAGCCCCCCUCGAGAUGAGAUUUCCUUUGC